UACGUAGGUGGCGAGCGUUGUCCGGAAUUACUGGGCGUAAAGGGCGCGUAGGCGGCGUGGUAAGUCACUUGUGAAAUCUCUGAGCUUAACUCAGAACGGCCAAGUGAUACUGCUGUGCUAGAGUGCAGAAGGGGCAAUCGGAAUUCUUGGUGUAGCGGUGAAAUGCAUAGAUAUCAAGAGGAACACCUGAGGUGAAGACGGGUUGCUGGGCUGACACUGACGCUGAGGCGCGAAAGCCAGGGGAGCAAACGGG
rnacentral:rRNA from 1 species